AAUUACUUCAGUGCCAUAUGUUCCUAAUUUGCAAUAAACAAGCUUUCCCUUCACCUUAUUUGGAUCUAAGGAACCUCCAAAGCAGUAUCUAUAUCUAUGCAUUAAUUAAAAUCUUCUUUGUCUAUAUGUUGACUUAUUUUGUUUAUGUAUUUCAAUUACAGUAAGACAGAAUUUUUUUUCUUCUCCUUGGCUUCCGCAACAUUCCUAAAAGACUAAAGCCUUUUCUUCACAGCACAGGUGCUGAGCUUUCAUAUGGUAAAGUAGUUGAAACAAAAGUUUUCGAGCAUUGAGAAGGAAGAAUAGCAAUACCAGAAACAAUCAAUCCUGGCAGAGUCUGAAUUGUAUUGCUUUCAUGUCUGUGGAACAAUUCUGUUAAUAGUUUCUACUUAGUGUUAGUGUGUAUAUCACUGUAUAAAACUGAGAUUGAGACAAGUGUAUUCACUCAACUAUAUUGAUAUGUUAGUUGGUUACUUUAAUCACAACUUAUCUUAAUUGU